ACCGGGCGUGGUGGCGGACGCCUGUAGUCCCAGCUACUCAGGAGGCUGAGGCAGGAGAAUGGCAUGAACCUGGGAGGCGGAGCUUGCAGUGAGCCGAGAUCCUGCCACUGCACUCCAGCCUGGGCGACAGAGCGAGGCUCCAUCUCAAAAAAAAAAAAAAAAAAGAGGUUCACCAUGGCAAUGCAAAAAAAAUUUUUUUUUUCUUCUUGAGACGGAGUCUCGCUCUGUGUCGCCCGGGGUGGAGUGCAGUGGCAGGAUCUCGGCUCACUACAAGCUCCAUCUCCCCGGUUCAUGCCAUUCUCCUGCCUC
rnacentral:SRP_RNA from 1 species